rnacentral:rRNA from 1 species
AAUAGAUACCCUGUAGUCCACGCCGUAAACGAUGUCGACUUGGAGGUUGUUCCCUUGAGGAGUGGCUUCCGGAGCUAACGCGUUAAGUCGACCGCCUGGGGAGUACGGCCGCAAGGUUAAAACUCAAAUGAAUUGACGGGGGCCCGCACAAGCGGUGGAGCAUGUGGUUUAAUUCGAUGCAACGCGAAGAACCUUACCUACUCUUGACAUCCAGAGAACUUAGCAGAGAUGCUUUGGUGCCUUCGGGAACUCUGAGACAGGUGCUGCAUGGCUGUCGUCAGCUCGUGUUGUGAAAUGUUGGGUUAAGUCCCGCAACGAGCGCAACCCUUAUCCUUUGUUGCCAGCGGUUCGGCCGGGAACUCAAAGGAGACUGCCAGUGAUAAACUGGAGGAAGGUGGGGAUGACGUCAAGUCAUCAUGGCCCUUACGAGUAGGGCUACACACGUGCUACAAUGGCGUAUACAAAGAGAAGCGACCUCGCGAGAGCAAGCGGACCUCAUAAAGUACGUCGUAGUCCGGAUUGGAGUCUGCAACUCG